rnacentral:rRNA from 1 species
GGACGGGUGAGUAACGCGUGGGUAACCUGCCUUAUACUGGGGGAUAACAGCCAGAAAUGACUGCUAAUACCGCAUAAGCGCACAGGACCGCAUGGUCCGUGUGAAAAACUCCGGUGGUAUAAGAUGGACCCGCGUUGGAUUAGUUAGUUGGCAGGGCAGCGGCCUACCAAGGCGACGAUCCAUAGCCGGCCUGAGAGGGUGAACGGCCACAUUGGGACUGAGACACGGCCCAGACUCCUACGGGAGGCAGCAUG